GGUAGGGGUAGGUCAGUGGUUAAGCUGUUGGUCUACUGAUCAGAAGGUCAUGACUUCAAUCCCCAGCACCACCA